rnacentral:sRNA from 1 species
ACCGCUUUGUGGGGAGGCUGAGGCCACACGGACAGCCGGGUCGAAUGCCGA